UUCACAUAGUAAGCACUCAAUAAAUGUUUUUGCUUUUGAAUGAAACUUCAUUAAAGGCUCUAACUCUACUAUGGUGAACACAUUGUGAGAUCAAAAUGUUGCCAAGUAGACUGUACCUGUGACUCAGUGAAGCCUAACCCAGACCGACAGAGAAAUUGAUGGAAUGUUAAUUGAUAGCAGCUGGAUGACUGGCAUGAGUGCAGCCACAGGAAAGGGCCAAGGAUCUCUCAGGGAGUAUAAAAUUUACAUUUACUAAAGACCCCAGAGGCUUUUUAAUGAGAAUGACCUCUGGUUAAAAUUAGAGUGAAGGGGAAAUAAAGAUAGUAAUUUGGGGACUUUGGGUCUUAGCAUAUUUUCCACUUAAUAGCCAGUGACUUAGAAAAUGAAACUCAUGGAAUUCUCAUAAUAGUAAUGACUUGGCCUUAAUGAUUUCAAAAGCCCCAUUAGGUGGGUUCACGACUUGUUGGUUAGCAACACUGGAAAAUAUACUAGGUGGAGAAAACAUGGAUAAGUCCUCAAAUUUAAACACUCUUAUCAGUGUCUUGGCUGGUAGAAAACAGGCUGUGUUGAUCAGGCCUUGUAGAAUAGACCAAGAGGGUUUGUUUACUCCUUGGAAUUGAGCUUGAGGUGGAUAAGAUCAGAGUUUCAGAUCACUAGCUGGGUGUACAUCUAUAAAGAUCUCCCACUAUGUGAAAAUUCCCGAGUUGAUAUCUGAAUAAAGUGACAGGGCCAAACCUUACUACAGCUUCUAAGAUAUGUUUUAGUGGAAGCCCCAGAUGAUCUCCUUUCCUCAAGAGAAAUUGGUAAUCAUCCUGUCUACUAAAUGAGGCAUUGGUUUGUUAAUAUAAAGUUGGUUGAUGCACCUAUACUGAAAUAUACUAGUUUGACUUUGGGAAUGUUUGAAAUGUUAAAUAUGGUUAGUGCCUAAAUCUAUAGUGAUGGGUUCUUUUAUUUUUUCCUCCCUGACACAUACCUUUAUUUCCUAGAGCAUUUUACAGCAAAUUCCUGACAUUAUAGUACUUCAUCUGUAAAUGCUUUAGAAUUCUGGCUACUGCUGAAAAGGGUCAAUAUUUUACGCAGCUGGUCCAAUAGAGGAAGCCACAAGACAUGAACCUGCUCCAUCAUAAUGCCUCCUCACCUACUGACAGUAACAUGUGCAUAGUAAUUUCUAUGUGUUUGUGUGUGAGUUGACACCAGAGGGCCUCAGGAAGAAAAAGGAGGGAAAAUCAUAUAUUCAGCUUACAUUGGGGUGUAACUCUGAGGGAGAUGAGAUUUACAAGCAGUGAUACCCUUUUUGCCCUGUUUUCCUAAAUCCGUCUGUGUGGGAAAAUUUCUUCUGGAAAUCACUGAUGCCUACAGAUUAUUAUCUCGGGUGGAGUAGGGCUGAGGGAGGAGAUACUGUAUAUAGAAGGUGAAAUUUUCUGUAAACAGGUGGAUAUCAGAUGGUUCUGAAAUUGGAAGGGCCAUGUGAGAAUUUGGCAUGGAGCUGGCAAGAAACCACACAAAAGAAGAGUGGGACUUUUCUAAAAGGUUCAAGAAAUAUCAAACAGGAGACUGAAUCUCUUACAAUUACCUGAGAUGGAGGCACAACCACCUCUCAGCAGCCAAAGAUAGUGACUAGACAGUAGAACACUGUAUCUGGCUACUAUCAAGAAGACACCGUGUGUUCAAGACCUUGCAUCCAGCUGCAACCAUCUGAAACCUAUAGCAAGAAGGAUCGCUCCAGCAGCUGGAUGAAGUCUUUGAUAAAGGGAGGCAACAAUGGAGGCUGGAAGUCAGACAAAAAGAGGAGGCUCUGGCAUUACCUGAGGUAUGAAUUGGAUUCACACAGCAAUGGUGAGGCUGGAGAAAAGAGGUGGAAACCUUGAUAUAGUUUGAAGAUAAACUUCUAGGAUAUAGCAUCCAGGUGAAUGGAGAGGGCUGGAGAUACUUCAAGGGAGUUGUCAGCAUAGAGAUGGGACUGAAUGAGAUAUCUGAAGAGGGAAUGUAGUUAGAGGGAAGAAGAGGUCUUAGGGUUGAACUCUGGGACACCACAGUGUUUAGAGGUUGGGAAGAGGAGGAAGAGCCACCCAAAACAAUGGAGAAGAAGUGAACAGUGAUGGAAAAGGAAGACCAAAAAGUGUGGCAUCCUGGCCAAAGCCAAGUGAAGGAAGUGUUUCAUGAAGGAGUGUAGCAUCAACCACAUCAAAUGCUGUUGAGAGAAUGAGUAGCAUGGGUCAGAUGAUUGAGGAUUAACCAUUGGAUUCAACAACAUUGCAAUUGUUGACAAUUUGGCAAGAGCUAUUUAGGGGAGUGAUGGCAAUUACAUGAAUGAGAAAAGGGGGUGUGGAGAUAGCAGGUAGAACUAAUGCUUUCUGGGAGUUUUUCAGAGAAGUGGCCUGGAGAAGGAUAUUGAUAAAGAAAUUUUUUAUUUUAUUGAGACAGAGUGCGUGCAUGUGCUUGCAAGUGCAUGAGUGGGGAGGGGCAGAGAGAGAG